AUAUUUAAAUUAUUGCACUUACUUGUAUAAAUCAUAAGAGCUUGUAUUUCCAGUGAAUAGCUUCAAACAGGGCGCUUAUUGCUGCCGAGCGUAGCUCGGCAGCACACUAAUCUCUACACGUGGUGUGCUUACCACGUGACCGCCGAGUUUAUAGCCGCUACAAUCUCGAUUUAUGUCAUUCUGUCAUCCACGGACGGGCCAAAACUAGCUGUUUUGAUAUUAUUUUUUUGUUCCCGGGGGGGGGUUUGUUCACAACAUGGCGACUGUUAUAAACGGACAGAAAUAUAAAAUCAUAAAAUAAUGCGAAUUUCCAUAAAAAUUCCGAGUAAUAUUUGUGAAGAUGAAUGGGUAAAUAAAGCACGGUGUUAUUUUGUGUCUCUGGCGCAAGAAUGAUCGACAAUAUUUGAAUAAUUCAGGUAAGGAUGGCUUUAUUUCGUUCUCGUAUAGUGAUGUAGUCGUGCCGUGUGCCCUGUCUACCUGUCUGGUGAUAUAUUUUAUAAUACAUGAAG